rnacentral:rRNA from 1 species
AUUGAACGCUGGCGGCAGGCCUAACACAUGCAAGUCGAACGGUAACAGGAAGAAGCUUGCUUCUUUGCUGACGAGUGGCGGACGGGUGAGUAAUGUCUGGGAAACUGCCUGAUGGAGGGGGAUAACUACUGGAAACGGUAGCUAAUACCGCAUAACGUCGCAAGACCAAAGAGGGGGACCUUCGGGCCUCUUGCCAUCGGAUGUGCCCAGAUGGGAGUAGCUUGUUGGUGGGGUAACGGCUCACCAAGGCGACGAUCCCUAGCUGGUCUGAGAGGAUGACCAGCCACACUGGAACUGAGACACGGUCCAGACUCCUACGGGAGGCAGCAGUGGGGAAUAUUGCACAAUGGGCGCAAGCCUGAUGCAGCCAUGCCGCGUGUAUGAAGAAGGCCUUCGGGUUGUAAAGUACUUUCAGCGGGGAGGAAGGGAGUAAAGUUAAUACCUUUGCUCAUUGACGUUACCCGCAGAAGAAGCACCGGCUAACUCCGUG